UCCGUAGGUGAACCUGCGGAAGGAUCAUUAUCAAAACAGCGGACUUCGGUCCUUGCUGCACCCUUGUCUUUUGCGUACCGUAUGUUUCCUCGGCGGGCUUGCCUGCCGGUUGGACAAUAUCAAACCUUUUUGUAGUUGCAAUCAGCGUCAGAAAAUAAUAAUAAUUACAACUUUCAACGACGGAUCUCUUGGUUCUGGCAUCGAUGAAGAUCGCAGCGAAAUGCGAAAAGUAGUGUGAAUUGCAGAAUUCAGUGAAUCAUCGAAUCUUUGAACGCACAUUGCGCCCCUUGGUAUUCCAUGGGGCAUGCCUGUUCGAGCGUCAUUUUGUACCCUCAAGCACUGCUUGGUGUUGGGCGCUUGUCCUGCAAAGGACUCGCCUGAAAGCGAUUGGCGGCCAACGUACUGGUGGUAGAGCGCAGCACAAUUUGCGUCUUUCCCCUCUGCGUUAGCGUCCAUGAAGCCUAUUUCAACGUUUGACCUCGGAUCAGGUAGGGAUACCCGCUGAACUUAAGCAUAUCAAUAAGCGGAGGAAAAGAAACCAACAGGGAUUGCCCUAGUAACGGCGAGUGAAGCGGCAUCAGCUCAAAUUUGAAAUCUGGCUCUUUCAGAGUCCGAGUUGUAAUUUGCAGAGGGCGCUUUGGUGUCGGCAGUGGUCCAAGUUCCUUGGAACAGGACGUCACAGAGGGUGAGAAUCCCGUACGUGGUCGCUGACCUACACCGUGUAAAGCCCCUUCGACGAGUCGAGUUGUUUGGGAAUGCAGCUCUAAAUGGGAGGUAAAUUUCUUCUAAAGCUAAAUACUGGCCAGAGACCGAUAGCGCACAAGUAGAGUGAUCGAAAGAUGAAAAGCACUUUGGAAAGAGGGUUAAACAGCACGUGAAAUUGUUGAAAGGGAAACGCUUGAAGU
rnacentral:sRNA from 1 species